UACGAAGGGGGCUAGCGUUGCUCGGAAUCACUGGGCGUAAAGCGCACGUAGGCGGAUUGCUAAGUCAGGGGUGAAAUCCUGGAGCUCAACUCCAGAACUGCCUUUGAUACUGGCGAUCUUGAGUCCGGGAGAGGUGAGUGGAACUGCGAGUGUAGAGGUGAAAUCGUAGAUAUUCGCAAGAACACCAGUGGCGAAGGCGGCUCACUGGCCCCGGUACUGACGCUGAGGUGCGAAAGCGUGGGGAG
rnacentral:rRNA from 1 species